GGCCCGGAGGCCCAGGAGCUGGUGGAGCUGUAACAUGUAAGUCACCCGGCUCAUCACGUGAAGGAAAGCUGCCCUCCAACCAGGAACACCUGCCUUGGAAUAUUAUGUCAGAGCCCCUGGGCUGGGAGCUGCAGCCCCUCCUACACAGCAACUCAGCAAGCACCACCUCAACCCCUGCUCCCUUCAUCUUCUCUGAGUCCAUAGUGGCUGAAGACAUGAGGCCGGGGAUGGGUCCUGGUCCACUUCCUCUGCUUGCUGGAGGAAUAAUCAGGUGAUGGGACAUGAAGGAGCUUAAAAGAGGGUGAAGACAUGAUUCUAGGCCUGGAGUAGAAAGAGACUGUGGUCUUAACCAAUUGAUGGAAACCCAAGAUGACAAUGAAAAUAUACGCCGUCAUUUAUUAAGAGCAUGGACUAUGGACCAAGUACUUGGUAAUCUCAUUUAACUUUCACAACACCCUUGGUAGGUCAUUUUCCCCAUUGUACAGAUGAGGAUGAGGUUCAGAGGUUUUGAGUAAGUGGCCCAGAGUCACGCAGCUCUUUUGUGGUAGAGCUGUGAUUUGAACCCAGGCUCAUCUGGAAGGUCUACGCUCAGU